rnacentral:lncRNA from 1 species
UCUGAUUGAGCAUCUUCAUAUGUACUUUUAAUUAUAAAAUAAAUCACCUCAAACAGCUUGUCUGAUUCACUGAAGCUUCAUGGUGAUGAUAGAAAAACAACCAUCAAAAUAACAGAAUACAAAGAACACAAGGAAAAUCAUGAAAGGUGCUAUUAAAGACUAUGUUUAUUAAAUGGCAACGGAGUCACAUGCAUUGUUGGGAAAUGUCCAUUGGGACCUUGUGUGACUUCUCUCCCUUUGUUUUAGUUUGUGUGUUGUGGUCCCUUUCUGGUCCAACCUACACAGAGAGCAGACUUGUCCUUCAGAUUCAUUUCAUGGAGGACGAUUUCAGUAAAUUGAAAAUGUGUUUAAGAGUGCAAAAUUCAUUAAAGUGCUAGCAUAACUCGUGAAAAAAAUUGUGUGAUAUGGCAAACAACUUGCACAUCCCAUGGCUAUGAGUAAAAAAACAAGACAAACUGAAAAUAUGUAUUUCUUUCUCUGUAUGGUCAGUAUCUCACAGAAAAGUACUAAAUAAAACUGCAACUAUUGCAUGUUUCUCUCUCCAAGACAAUCACGUUACCAAAAUAGAGGCACGAUUUAAACACCAAACCAUGCGAGGUAAAUUGUUUAACACUACCUUUGAUUGACACGGCAGGUAGCCUAGUGGUUAGAGCGUUAAACUAGUAACCGAAAGGUUGCAAGCUCGAAUCCCCAAGCUGACAUGGUAAAAAUCUGUCGUUCUGCCCCUGAACAAGGCAGUUAACCCACUUGAAAAUAAGAAUUUGUUCUUAACUGACUUGCCUAGUUAAAUAAAGGUACAAUUUUACUGGAACUGUGUGUCAAGAAGGUCAUAAAUUAAAGGCUCUUACCCUUCAACCUCAAUAUAACACGGGACAGUCUUUUCCAAUAAAAAAAAAAUGUAACAUCAAAACCUGAAUUAAAUUAGACAGUGUAGCUAACAGAGGUUAGGUACUGGUAAGGUCAUGUGUUGCUCCUGGAGUUUCAAGACAGAGAGGAGGGAUAUGUCUCCGGCUGUGCACAUGGACGGCAGUGGAACGGCCUCCAUCUUGUGCUCAACUGUGUUGUAGUGGCACUUCCUCAGCUGGUCAGACAUACUGGAGACUUCGGCGAACCGCCACUCAUUAACGGGGCUAAAGGCAGUGCUGAAUCUCCACACCUGCCCGAACAGAACAGGUAAGAAAGCAUUAGUAAGGCAGGAAAGUUCAAUCCAGUCUAGUUAACAUUUAAAGGGGUAUAGGGUAAGGGAAUCAACAUCAGUGCUAUUGUACAUACAAUAAGAAAGGCCUAUAUGGUGGCAGUGGCACUUUAAAAUCCUAGACAGGAAAUGUAAAUCCUCAGAUGAGGGUUGUAAAUAAAGUUUUAUACAACGGGUGGGUCUAAUCCUGAAUGCUGAUUGGUUAAAACCGCAUUCCAGCCGGGGUCUAUUCCACAAGUUACCACCUGACUGCGCAAUCCACUGUCUCAUCAGCCCAGCCAGGCAGUUUAUAAACUUGAUCUCCACUAUGAAAAGCAUCUAGACAUUAUCUCACAUUUCUUGUAAACUAACAUUUAGUUUUCAACAGCAGAGAUUUGUAGAAACCUUGCUGUCUGUCUCUCCUACAUUUACAACAUUGUUUCAAUGUUCAAAUUCGAUCUCCAGCUGUCGUAGAGUAAUGAACGUGUCAGGAGUCGGGAUGAGACAGACAGGCAGGCAGCUUUUCUCAGCCAGUCGAAAUCAUGAAUCAGCAUCAUUUUUUAUGGAUAUAUACAAAGACAUAUCAAUAAGAAACAGGUAAAACGAGACCAAAGGCAGCUAGUUUGCAGUCUUUCCAGCUUCAGUUUCAAGUUCGUGUAAGCUGUGUUGUUGACUAGCUCCUCUGAACAACGCAAGAGCACAUUUUCUAUGCCAGGUGAAAUCGUGCCUCAUUAGCUAAUUGUUCUGGGAUGUAUCCAAAUAAAUGUCACUAGGAAACAGCUAAAACAAAUGCAGCUACAUUGUUGUUAUUCUGGCUACAUUUUUCGACAUGACUGUAAAUUAGCCGUAGUUGGCUAGCUAGCAUGGGAUAAGAACGUUGACAGCCAGUAUGGUAAUGGGACUUUUAGAAUUAACAACUGGGUCGCGUCCAUAGAUACAGAACAAAAAGACUGGCUCGCUUCUCUGGCAACCGAACGGAUAGAAUGAACGACCAGCCGGCUUGUUUAGAAACCUUAGAUUUGUGUCGGGACUAUGUCUUGAGGAAGGAUGGAUGAUUGAUUAAUAAAUUAAUCAAAAUAAAAAGUUUCUAAUGAAAAUACAGUGCCUUCGGAAAGUAUUCUGACCCCUUGGCUUUUCACAUUUUGUUAUGUUACAGGCUUAUUCUAAAAAUGAUUAAAUAAAAAAUCCUCAGCAACCUACACACAAUACCCCAUAAUGACAAAGCAAGUUUUUUACAUAAAUUAGCAAACAUUUCCAAAAACUGUUUUUGCUUGGUCAUUAUGGGGUAUUGUAUGUAGACUGAGGGGGGGGGGGGGACGAUUUAAUCAAUUUUAGAAUAAGGCUGUAACGUAACAAAAUGUGGAAAAAGUCAAGGGGUCUGAAUACUUUCCAAAUGCACUGUAUGUAAAUCAUUAUUUGAAUAUGUUGGUGACCCGUUUUAUUAAAGUGAUGAUGCCCUCAAAGCCGGUGUUUGCAGGAUAUAUUAGCACGGUUUGCCUAACAACACCCGAGCCAAUAUAUCCUCUAGACACCGGCUUCUUCGGGCAUUAUCAAUUAAAUAAACUAGAAUACUGGCGUUCCAAAAGGCGAACUUUUGCACAUCUUACACAUACUGUAAGAGUAACGAGUUGACAUCACCUGGUGGCACAGUUUCAGCCAACAAAUGUGAGUUUCUUACCCUGUCUUUGAUCUGCCAUAAGAAAGUAACGUUUGGAUAUUGACUUCUCUCCCACCGUAGUUCUACAAUUCCCCGGGACUGCAGCAGACUAGCACACGCGUACCUCAUGGUCCACGACAACAUGGACAGCUGGGACAGGCUGAAGCCAUCCAGGAAGCAGGCCACAUGCUGCAGCACCUCAAAGGGAAGCCCACUAAAAGGGAAGCCCACCUCAAAGGGAAGCCCACUAGACUCCCCAACGGUCCCGUCCCCCCCCUCAAUGGGGCUGGGCUUCACCCCGAAUGACCUAAAGUUCUGAUUAUGGAUGACCUUUGACCCCUGGUAUGAGGGGGAGAACCUGCGCUGGGAGUAGGUGCAGCCGUAGUAGGCCAGGGGACAGUGGUAUUCCAUCUAGUUGCUGAGGCCUGUGUGCAUGUCCUUGUGGAGGUUCUUGAAGUGGGAGGAGUAAUCGUCCCUGCGGAACAGCUGGCCACAAUCGAAGGAAAACAUUUGCUGGAGCCGAUUACAUGGGAUGUUCCGGAUCUGUGGAACUUCCUCUAGAACCAGGUCCAGGCUGAGGGUGCGGAAGGGGCUGGGAUAUGAGAGUUGUGGCGCAUGGUCACAGGCAGCUGACGACGCCAACCCUCGUGCUGGUCACCAAGAUGGGGGCAGGGGAGGUGAAGGUCUGUGUGCCGAAGUUGACGUGGAAGCCGUCCACAUUGGCAGUGUCGGAGAUCCUGAGGCACUUGCGGGACUCCUCCAGGCAGAGGAGGGCAGCUGCAGUGAUCAGGUCGAUCUUCCCCAGGCCCAUGGAGUCGUCCUCCUGCUCCAGGUCUGACGUAUCCACUGUCUUGUCCUCCAUUUUGGGUCUAAACCUAACCCGGACUCUCCGUCCGUUGGACAGAGCAAACUGGCCCGAGCCUCUGAGCAACAGGUGGUUCUGGAACUUCCUCUCCAGUUCCCUGUCCUCUAGGACCACGUGACUGGCCCUGUGUGCCAUACCCUGGUGGAUCUGCAUGGGUGGUGCUAGUUGCGUUGCUGGGUGAGAUUGGGGAUGCUGUAGCUGUGACAGAACCAGAGGGCCCUUGAGGUACAGGUGGAGGAUUCAAGUCAUCUUGCACCUUGAUUGGGCAAACUGCUUCACUGGAAGACCAACUGGUUCCAGGUUGAUGCUGAUCUACUGAGUCUGAACCUAAGGCCUGCUCCCCUGGUCUCUUCUGGGAGCCUUUCCCACUCAAACAACCAUUACAUAAGCUUUGUUCAUUCAGCCCCUCAACACUCCUCGAGGUCACACCUGAAAGCUCCAUCCACAUCUCGCCAUCGGCAAAGACCUCCAUAGCAACCUCACUGUCAGUUCCGCUGACCACUCUAAGCUCUCCAACUGAUGACCCUGCCUCAGCAUCUUUCAUCUCAACGUUCGUCAAGUCUGCAGCUUCCGAUUGGUGGGAGCUGACGUAAGCUCUGCUUGCGGGUGAGUGGGGGCUCCGUUGAUUGGGUCUGUAUAUUUAACCGUGUUUCUGAGGUCGCCCUGUGCUGUGACCAGGCUCCUCCUCAGCUGGACCGUCGCCCGGUGGAGUUGGUGCAGCUGAUAAGCUGACCGUAGCACUCCUUCACAUCCAAAUCUCCAGCCUGUUAUGAAGCAGCAGCUCAUCGUUCCAGUCAAUGCUGUUGAUCUUGAUGCAUUGCUCUGUGCUGAGAACGUCCAACGCUGCGGCAAGGCUCCGCGCCGUCUCCACCAUGUACAGCUUGCUAUACCACUCCUCGUUCAAACCAUUUAUUCCGUUAGCAAUUUUAUCCUUCGCUGAGCUCAGUGGCGGUGACUGUGACGUCAAUGUUGGUGAUGACUGUGUCGUCAAUAGUGGUGGUGACUGUGUCGUCAAUAGUGGUGGUGACUGUGUCGUCAAUAGUGGUGGUGACUGUGUCGUCAAUAGUGGUGGUGACUGUGUCGUCAAUAGUGGUGGUGACUGUGUCGUCAAUAGUGGUGGUGAAUGCGUUGUCAACGCAGUGUCCUUCUCACUCGCGCUCUCUACGGUGAAAACAGGUGGCUCUCUCUCGACCGUGGGCGCCGUUGGGACCACCUUGAGGGACUUGACCAGCGUGUACUUGUCCUGCAGGGCCAGCGCCAUGUCCAGCUGCUCUGUCUCCUCCACCCCCCAGCUCAAGCUCUCGUAUGAUGUGUAAUCCAGGCAGCUGAUAGCUCACCUGUUCCACUCCAUGGUGUGCAGGCAUCCGGGUCUGCACUAGUGUGUCAGGGAAGCCAAAACCCCUGUUCAGGCAGGGCACUCUCUCCAGGGGACAGAGGAGGAGGUGCUCGGGCCCUUUGUAGGAGUGGAAAAUGGCCCCACAGACUAGGGGGCAGGUGACAGGAGAUACCGGGUUCUGGCCUGGUCAUGCACCUCUGACUCAGGCAGGUCACACAGCGGAUAUGUUGCUGCUCCAUCUUUAAGAGGGCAGGGAGUGGAGUAUUUAGAGUGUUGUAAGGUGGAGCUGGGAGUGGUGGUGGGACCGGGAGAGUCAGCAGCUCUGUGAGGGAAAACGAGAAAAUACACAGGACCUAAUUUUGUAGUUUUGAUGCAGACAAUACAGUACAGUCAAUAGAAGAAGUAUUUAAAUGGAAUCAUUAGCUUUUAUUUCUACACAAGUAAAUUGGAUGAAAAUGUACCAAAAGGCAGCAAUUCACUGUCAGAAUCAUGCACAUGGUUGCCACAGUGUUGAAGCAGACGUAUGACGCUUUUGAGACUGAGAGGACUGUAAAGGAUGGGUUCAGGAGGACAGGUAUCUUUCAAUUUGACCCACAUGUCAUGGCUGGGUCAAUGUGGUGUGGGAGGGAAGAGAUGAGGCCUGAAGUCAGUGCUGCUGGACCCUGUGAUGAUGGGCCAAUGGAAGAACAACCCGAACGAGUGUGUCCGAGACCAUGGCAAGAAGGCAGUAAA